rnacentral:rRNA from 1 species
AGGAGUUCCUUCGGGACACGGGAUACAGGUGGUGCAUGGUUGUCGUCAGCUCGUGUCGUGAGAUGUUGGGUUAAGUCCCGCAACGAGCGCAACCCCUAUUGUUAGUUGCCAUCAUUAAGUUGGGCACUCUAACGAGACUGCCGGUGAUAAACCGGAGGAAGGUGGGGAUGACGUCAAAUCAUCAUGCCCCUUAUGACCUGGGCUACACACGUGCUACAAUGGAUGGUACAACGAGUCGCGAGACAGUGAUGUUUAGCUAAUCUCUUAAAACCAUUCUCAGUUCGGAUUGUAGGCUGCAACUCGCCUACAUGAAGUCGGAAUCGCUAGUAAUCGCGGAUCAGCACGCCGCGGUGAAUACGUUCCCGGGUCUG